GAUGAACGCUCGCUACAGGCUUAACACAUGCAAGUCGAGGGGAAACGACAUCGAAAGCUUGCUUUUGAUGGGCGUCGACCGGCGCACGGGUGAGUAACGCGUAUCCAACCUGCCCAUCACUUGGGAAUAACCUUGCGAAAGUAAGACUAAUACCCAAUGAUAUCCCACGAAGGCAUCGGAAUGGGAUUAAAGAUUUAUCGGUGAUGGAUGGGGAUGCGUCUGAUUAGCUUGUUGGCGGGGUAACGGCCCACCAAGGCAACGAUCAGUAGGGGUUCUGAGAGGAAGGUCCCCCACAUUGGAACUGAGACACGGUCCAAACUCCUACGGGAGGCAGCAGUGAGGAAUAUUGGUCAAUGGGCGAGAGCCUGAACCAGCCAAGUAGCGUGCAGGAAGACGGCCCUAUGGGUUGUAAACUGCUUUUAUAAGGGAAUAAAGUGGGUCACGUGUGACUUUUUGCAUGUACCUUAUGAAUAAGGACCGGCUAAUUCCGCG
rnacentral:rRNA from 1 species